rnacentral:sRNA from 1 species
AUGCGAUGAUGGUGUGCGCCUCGCCUGCUCCUCCGCGCGCGCGCGUGCGUACACACACAACACACACACACACACACACACACGUCUUAUGUAAUCGAGCCCGGGUAAAGCAGGGCUGCAGAAAGCAGAAACGGCGAGCCCGGCUCCUGGGAGCAGGUCUCGGCCCCCGCUUGGGGCCCCGGCCGUGCGGCCGGAGGGAGCGGCCGGAUGGAGCGGAGGAUGAAAGCCGGAUACUUGGACCAGCAAGUGCCCUACACCUUCAGCAGCAAAUCGCCCGGAAAUGGGAGCUUGCGCGAAGCGCUGAUCGUCCCGCAGGGGAAGCUCAUGGACCCGGGCUCCCUGCCGCCCCUCGACUCUGAAGAUCUCUUCCAGGAUCUAAGUCACUUCCAGGAGACGUGGCUCGCUGAAGCUCAGGUACCAGACAGUGAUGAGCAGUUUGUUCCUGAUUUCCAUUCAGAAAACCGUGAGUAGAGGUCCCUGGGGAGAGGGUAUAGGGAGUGGAGGAUGGCAGGAAGUGAGUCAUAGGAUAGAGAAGCACAGGAGAGCAGCUUGUUCUCUCCUAAAAAACAGUGG